rnacentral:rRNA from 1 species
GACGAACGCUGGCGGCGUGCUUAACACAUGCAAGUCGAACGGAAAGGCCCUGCUUUUGUGGGGUGCUCGAGUGGCGAACGGGUGAGUAACACGUGAGUAACCUGCCCUUGACUUUGGGAUAACUUCAGGAAACUGGGGCUAAUACCGGAUAGGAGCUCCUGCUGCAUGGUGGGGGUUGGAUAGUUUCGGCGGUUGGGGAUGGACUCGCGGCUUAUCAGCUUGUUGGUGGGGUAGUGGCUUACCAAGGCUUUGACGGGUAGCCGGCCUGAGAGGGUGACCGGCCACAUUGGGACUGAGCUACGGCCCAGACUCCUACGGGCGGCAGCAGUGGGGAAUAUUGCACAAUGGGCGGAAGCCUGAUGCAGCAACGCCGCGUGCGGGAUGACGGCCUUCGGGUUGUAAACCGCUUUCGCCUGUGACGAAGCGUGAGUGACGGUAAUGGGUAAAGAAGCACCGGCUAACUACGUG